rnacentral:lncRNA from 1 species
CUGUUUUUUGCCUUCCCCACAGGAUUACACAUGAACACAUGGUCAGCAGGCUUGAGUGACCUCUGUCCAGACUCCAGCCUCAAGGACUAGGCCUGUCCAAGCAAGGAGGGUCAAGCCAAGAAACCAUCAGAUACUUCAGUUUUUACUGUGUCCGAUUGAAAUCAUAAUCUAUAAACCUGGGCAGAGGCUCCAUCCAUCAGACACCAAAGGCCAAACCUGCCAUCAUCAAUAACAAGGAUGAUCUUGAUGUUGGCACCAGGAAAUGAGGAGAGUUAAUGCAGGCCCAGCAACUCAGGGAUGCCAGCAG